rnacentral:rRNA from 1 species
CUUUACUGUAUCCUGGAAUUGAAUUUGGGUUUAUUUUGCGCAGCAUAGGUGGGAGGCUAAGAUAGUGCGUUUGCGGGCGUAAAGUAGCCAACAGUGAGAUACCACUCUGAUUAAACUAGAAUUCUAAUCUCGAUGUCGUUAUCCGGCCAAGAAACAGUUUCAGGUGGGCAGUUUGACUGGGGCGGUCGCCUCCUAAAAAGUAACGGAGGCGUGCAAAGGUUCCUUCAGGCUGGUUGGAAAUCAGUCGUAGAGUGCAAAGGCAAAAAGGAGCUUGACUGCGAGACCUACAAGUCGAGCAGAGACGAAAGUCGGCCUUAGUGAUCCGACAGUUCUGAGUGGAAAGGCUGUCGCUCAACGGAUAAAAGUUA